UAAAGAAAACAAAAGGGUUUCUUCCUUUUGUAGGCAGAUUUCUGCUGCUUAUUUUUUAAAAGAACUCAGCCUCCCUACCCCCUUUUCUCUUCCGUUCGGCUAGGGUCCUGAACCCCUCAUCGCCGCCCUCAGUGGUUUGUCACACCACCAUUACAAUCAGUGGCCGACGACAAGCGAAAUAGGCUACCUAGCCUCUAUUCGUGGUGCCUUUGAAGGUCCCAAAUCCCUCGGUUGAGUGCCCGAAAAUAAAGGGACUUCCCAACCUCCCCUUUUGGGCUCAACUCCAAUGGAGAAAGAAGUCUCCGACGACCGACCAUGGGGGUUUUCCGAUGACGCGUGGAGGGUGACUGAUGGAGCAGCGUGCGAGCAGACGAAGAGGCGUGGGGCGGUGGCUGAACGUUCCUAGGGUUCUGCUGAUAUUUUUUGCAUUAGAUUGAUAGUUUGGGUUGUAUUUGUUAUUGGGCUGAUUGUGGUUUUAAGGUUUGGGCUAAAAUUUGAGUUUGGAGUUUUUUAUUUGGCUGUUUAUUUUGGUUUAAAAAUUUAGUUUUUAUUUAUUUUUGUUUUUGGUUGAGUCAUGGGCAUCGGGCAAAUUUAAGCCCGUAUAUUAUUGAAUAGUUAUGUUUAUCGUAAAAGACUUGACUCCCAAAACAA